GCGUCGGUGGUUUAGUGGUAGAAAACACGUCUCCGGAUAGGAUAAAGCGCGGGUUCGAUUCUCGACUGGGGUU